rnacentral:sRNA from 1 species
UACUUUGUAGAAGCUAAUUUAGGUAGUGACUAUUCGUAUACAUGAGAAUGCACAAGUUAAAAUUAGGUCUUUUGAGUAGUAGGUUAUCAUGAAAAGAGGGAGGGGGUAGUAUCUUGAUCAAUGCUUUGUAUAAUAGCAAUACAUCUUUGUCCUAAGAACUAUAAAUAUUGUUUUACACAAAAUAAAUACAUUACAGCAAGUGAAAACAUUUCUUCAAUAGCACUUAUAUUUCUUUACUAGUUUUUAGAAAUUGAUCCAAUUUAUUUUAGGCUUACUUGAGCAGAGCAUGUUAUUAUGGACAAAAAGGCAAAUAUGCUAAAGCAAUCCUCAACUGUAAUGAGGCUAUAAAACUACAACCAAAAUGUCUUAGAGGAUACUUAUAUAGGGGAGCUUUAAAGUAUUGGAUCAAAGCUUAUGAAUUAGCUAUCCAAGAUUUGACAAAUGCCGCAUCGUUAGACACAGAGUGCCCAAUUCCAUAUUUUAACAGAGCAGUUUGUUAUCAUGAAAGUGGUCAACAUGACAAAGCUUUGACUGAUUACAGUAUAGUCUUGAUGUUAGACUCCAUGCUAGACUUGAAGGUAUUAGUCAACAGAGGAUUAUUGUACUUUGAGAGACAAGAUUAUAUAAAUGCCUUGCUAGAUUUAAAGGCAGCUGCUCAACUCCGUUCAACAGAUCACAGAAUACAGCAUACACUUGGUCUUUGUUUCCACAAGUAGUUCAUGAAUUUUUUAAUGCUC